rnacentral:pre_miRNA from 1 species
UAGGUACUUCCUCCGUUCGGAAUUACUGGUCUCAGAAAUGGAUGUAUCUAGAACGUCUAGAUACAUCCAUUUCUGAGACCAGUAAUUCCGAACGGAGGGAGUAGUUC